AGUGAACGCUGGCGGUAGGCCUAACACAUGCAAGUCGAACGGCAGCACAGUAAGAGCUUGCUCUUUCGGGUGGCGAGUGGCGGAUGGGUGAGGAGUACCUCCGAAUUUACUUUUUCGUGGGGGAUGACGCAGGGAAACUUACCGUAUUACCGCAUACGACCUACGGGUGAAAGCAGGGGAUCUUCGGACCUUGCGUGAUUGUAUGAGCCGAUGUCGGAUUAGCUAGUUGGCGGGGUAAAGGCCCACCAAGGCGACGAUCCGUAGCUGGUCUGAGAGGAUGAUCAGCCACACUGGAACUGAGACACGGUCCAGACUCCUACGGGAGGCAGCAGUGGGGAAUAUUGGACAAUGGGCGCAAGCCUGAUCCAGCCAUACCGCGUGGGUGAAGAAGGCCUUCGGGUUGUAAAGCCCUUUUGUUGGGAAAGAAAAGCAGCAGGUUAAUACCCCGCUGUUCUGACGGUACCCAAAGAAUAAGCACCGGCUAACUUCGUG
rnacentral:rRNA from 1 species